UACGGAGGGUGCAAGCGUUAUCCGGAUUUACUGGGUUUAAAGGGUGCGUAGGUGGGUCUGUAAGUCAGUGGUGAAAUCUUCGAGCUUAACUCGGAAACUGCCAUUGAUACUAUAGGUCUUGAAUAUCCUGGAGGUGAGCGGAAUAUGUCAUGUAGCGGUGAAAUGCUUAGAUAUGACAUAGAACACCGAUUGCGAAGGCAGCUCACUACGGGAUUAUUGACACUGAGGCACGAAAGCGUGGGGAUCAAACAGG
rnacentral:rRNA from 1 species